GAUGAACGCUGGCGGCGUGCCUAAUACAUGCAAGUCGAACGAAACUUCUUUAUCACCGAGUGCUUGCACUCGCCGAUAAAGAGUUGAGUGGCGAACGGGUGAGUAACACGUGGGCAACCUGCCCAAAAGAGGGGGAUAACACUUGGAAACAGGUGCUAAUACCGCAUAACCAUAGUUACCGCAUGGUAACUAUGUAAAAGGUGGCUAUGCUACCGCUUUUGGAUGGGCCCGCGGCGCAUUAGCUAGUUGGUGAGGUAAAGGCUUACCAAGGCAAUGAUGCGUAGCCGAACUGAGAGGUUGAUCGGCCACAUUGGGACUGAGACACGGCCCAAACUCCUACGGGAGGCAGCAGUAGGGAAUCUUCCACAAUGGGCGAAAGCCUGAUGGAGCAACGCCGCGUGGGUGAAGAAGGUCUUCGGAUCGUAAAACCCUGUUGUUAGAGAAGAAAGUGCGUGAGAGUAACUGUUCACGUUUCGACGGUAUCUAACCAGAAAGCCACGGCUAACUACGUGCCAGCAGCCGCGGUAAUACGUAGGUGGCAAGCGUUAUCCGGAUUUAUUGGGCGUAAAGGGAACGCAGGCGGUCUUUUAAGUCUGAUGUGAAAGCCUUCGGCUUAACCGGAGUAGUGCAUUGGAAACUGGGAGACUUGAGUGCAGAAGAGGAGAGUGGAACUCCAUGUGUAGCGGUGAAAUGCGUAGAUAUAUGGAAGAACACCAGUGGCGAAAGCGGCUCUCUGGUCUGUAACUGACGCUGAGGUUCGAAAGCGUGGGUAGCAAACAGGAUUAGAUACCCUGGUAGUCCACGCCGUAAACGAUGAAUGCUAAGUGUUGGAGGGUUUCCGCCCUUCAGUGCUGCAGCUAACGCAAUAAGCAUUCCGCCUGGGGAGUACGACCGCAAGGUUGAAACUCAAAGGAAUUGACGGGGGCCCGCACAAGCGGUGGAGCAUGUGGUUUAAUUCGAAGCAACGCGAAGAACCUUACCAGGUCUUGACAUCUUUUGACAAUCCUAGAGAUAGGACUUUCCCUUCGGGGACAGAAUGACAGGUGGUGCAUGGUUGUCGUCAGCUCGUGUCGUGAGAUGUUGGGUUAAGUCCCGCAACGAGCGCAACCCUUAUUGUUAGUUGCCAGCAUUAAGUUGGGCACUCUAGCAAGACUGCCGGUGACAAACCGGAGGAAGGUGGGGAUGACGUCAAAUCAUCAUGCCCCUUAUGACCUGGGCUACACACGUGCUACAAUGGACGGUACAACGAGUCGCAAGACCGCGAGGUUUAGCAAAUCUCUUAAAGCCGUUCUCAGUUCGGAUUGUAGGCUGCAACUCGCCUACAUGAAGUCGGAAUCGCUAGUAAUCGCGGAUCAGCAUGCCGCGGUGAAUACGUUCCCGGGCCUUGUACACACCGCCCGUCACACCAUGAGAGUUUGUAACACCCAAAGCCGGUGGGGUAACCUUUUGGAGCCAGCCGUCUAAGGUGGGACAGAUGAUUGGGGUG
rnacentral:rRNA from 1 species